UACGUAGGGUGCGAGCGUUAAUCGGAAUUACUGGGCGUAAAGCGUGCGCAGGCGGUCUGUUAAGACAGAUGUGAAAUCCCCGGGCUUAACCUGGGAACUGCAUUUGUGACUGGCAGGCUAGAGUAUGGCAGAGGGGGGUAGAAUUCCACGUGUAGCAGUGAAAUGCGUAGAGAUGUGGAGGAAUACCGAUGGCGAAGGCAGCCCCCUGGGCCAAUACUGACGCUCAUGCACGAAAGCGUGGGGAGCAAACGAGGAUUAGA
rnacentral:rRNA from 1 species